rnacentral:rRNA from 1 species
UACGAAGGGGGCUAGCGUUGCUCGGAAUCACUGGGCGUAAAGGGUGCGUAGGCGGCUCAGUAAGUCAGGUGUGAAACCUCCAGGCUCAACCUGGAGACGCCACCUGAUAACUGCUGUGGCUAGAGUCCGGUGAGGGGAGCGUGGAAUUCCUGGAUGUAGCGGUGAAAUGCGCAGAUAUCAGGAGGAACACCAGCGGCGAAGGCGGCGCUCUGGGCCGGAACUGACGCUGAGGAGCGAAAGCGUGGGUAGCAAACAGG